rnacentral:SRP_RNA from 1 species
GCUGGGUGUGGUGGCGCAUACCUGUAGUCCCAACUACUUGGGAGGCUGAGGCGGGAGAAUCUUUUGAGCCCAGGAGUUUGAAGUUACAGCGAGCUAUGAUGGUGCUACUGCACUUCAGCCUGGGUGACAGAGUGAGGUCCUGUCUCUU